rnacentral:misc_RNA from 1 species
AAGUCGUAACAAGGUCUCCGUAGGUGAACCUGCGGAGGGAUCAUUACACACGUAUCCCAAAUACGUUUCAAACCAAACCGUGCUCUUUACAUUUUUCCCUGCAUUGUUUCAGUGAUUAUGUGACAAAAGGUGGAUUGAUGUAUACCCUUUUUGGGUGUAUGUCAAUGCAUGUAAUCUUUAACUGUUACUUUGCAGUAGUAAUUUUUAGCCACCUGGCUACUUGUGCCAACCCGGUUCCGACCCGGAGCCUUGUAGCCUUAUUGCUCCCAUUUUUUUUACCCCUUUCUUUUUUUAAUGAACUGAAACAUGUUGUGUUGAUACUCUCUGUGGUAUAGACACACAUAUACGAAAUAAAAGAGAACAACUCUUAGCAAUGGAUAUCUUGGUUCUC